CUGGAAUGCUUCACCAGGACUAGUUGUGGAAGUACGGCUGUGUUCCCCCAGCAGUUUAUGUUCUUUGCCCAAUUCUCAUUUCCACUGGUCUUCCAAAACUUUGAUGUAUUUAUGGGCUGCCCACAAGCACAGAUGGAAAGUGUGCCAGAUUCAAACCAGGACCACUCGCCUCGAAGUCCGGUGCGGAUGCCACCACACCAACAGUCGGCGUUUGCUUUGGAUGAACAAAGGGUGAAAGAGUCCUGCUUUCAGCCACAAUUGUCAGAUCAGUUCACGAAUCCUAUCAUGUCGAAGAUCAUAUAUUGCAUUGAAAUGCGGCUGCUAAGAUAACAAAUUUCACAUCACAUGCCGAUGAUAAUAAACCUGAUUCGGAUUCUGAGGAAGCUACUGACACAGUGAAGGAAGCCCUGAACACCACCAGAGAUGGAGGACCUUCAUUACUGCCCUAAAUGCCAGUGGCGUAAGGGACAGUAAGUAAUUAAGUAUGUUUGUAGAGUACUAUGAUAAAUCAUGGUCCUGAAAAACAUUGUCUCGUUUUUACUGUGUACUGUACCAGCAGUUAAGGUCGAAAUGACA